rnacentral:rRNA from 1 species
GAUGAACGCUAGCGACAGCUUAACACAUGCAAGUCGAGGGGUAGCAGGGGGUAGCAAUACUUUGCUGACGACCGGCGCACGGGUGAGUAACGCGUAUGCAACUUACCUAUCAGAGGGGGAUAACCCGGCGAAAGUCGGACUAAUAACGCAUAAAACAGGUGUCCCGCAUGGGAAUAUUUGUUAAAGAUUUAUUGCUGAUAGAUAGGCAUGCGUUCCAUUAGGAAGUUGGCGGGGUAACGGCCCACCAAACCGACGAUGGAUAGGGGUUCUGAGAGGAAGGUCCCCCACAUUGGUACUGAGACACGGACCAAACUCCUACGGGAGGCAGCAGUGAGGAAUAUUGGUCAAGGGGCGCGAGCCUGAACCAGCCAAGUCGCGUGAAGGAUGAAGGUCCUAUGGAUUGUAAACUUCUUUUAUUGGGGAAUAAAGUGCAGGACGUGUCCUGUUUUGUAUGUACCCAACGAAUAAGCAUCGGCUAACUCCGUGCCAGCCGCCGCGGUAA